UUUUUUACUACACUACAUAUGUUGGUAAAGCAUUUACCUAAGUUAUGGAAAAUUCAUAAUUCAUCAGUUAUUUUAGAUAAUACUAAAAACAAGGUAGAGUAA
rnacentral:rRNA from 1 species